GCCUAAAACCCAGCCCUACUAACCCAAAUGAACUACUUUCAUAAUAAUUAUAUAAUAAAACAUUUUUACACCUAGUAAAGGCGAUUAAAAAGUAAAUAGGAGCUCUAACACUAGUACCGCAAGGGAAGCCUGAAAUAAAAAUGAAAUAACUUUAAAGCACAACAAAGUAGGGGCUUACCCCCGUACCUUUUGCAUCAUGGUCUAACUAGUACCACCAAGCAAAACGAACUUUAAGUUUGACCCCCCGAAACUAGGCGAGCUACUUCGAAACAGCCCCAAGAGCCAACCCGUCCCUGUUGCAAUAGGGUGGGAAGAUUUCCAAGUAGAAGUGAUAAACCUACCGCGCCCAGAAAUAGCUGGUUAUUCAGGAAAUGGAUAUAAGUCCAACUUUAAACUUUUUACUUACACCAAAUACCACCAUAAGUUUAAAUUUUAUUCAAAUAAGGUACAGCCUAUUUGAAACAGGAUACAACCUAUAAAGCCGGGUAAUGUCAUAAUUAUAUAACCAAGUGGGCUUAAAACCAGCCAUCUUUCAAAAAGCGUCUCAGCUUAAUUAUACUUUCUACGAAUUUCAACCCAAACUCAAAACCCACCUCUAAUACUGAAUGACCCCAUACUACCCUAUGGAAGACCUUAUGUUAGAACUAGUAACAAGAAUAUAUUCUCCAAAACGUAAGUGUAAGCCAGAAUGAACCCAUCACCGGCAUCUACCGCCAAUGAACCAACAGUAACAACCCCCCCCCAAGAAAAUUUUACUUAUUAGAGCGUUAACCUUACACUAGAACUUUUCUGGAAAGAUUAAAAAAGACGGAAGGAACUCGGCAAAUACUAACCCCGCCUGUUUACCAAAAACAUCGCCUUCUGUAAAAAAUAGAAGGUCUAGCCUGCCCAGUGAUAAUCUUAAACGGCCGCGGUAUUUUAACCGUGCAAAGGUAGCAUAACCACUUGUUCUUUAAAUAAGGACUAGUAUGAACGGCAUCACGAGGGUUUUACUGUCUCCCCUCUUUAAUCAGUGAAACUAAUCUCCCCGUGAAGAAGCGGGAAUAACCCUAUAAGACGAGAAGACCCCAUGGAGCUUAAAACAAGUACCACUUGCACUAGACUAUAUCACUUAAACUCACCAAGUUUGUCUUACUAGUUUUUGGUUGGGGUGACCGCGGAGUAAAACAAAACCUCCACAACGAAAGAAACCMCCAUCUAAUUACAGAGCUACAACUCGCAAAAUCAAUAUAUUGACCUAAAUUGACCCAAUACUUUGAGCAAUGAACCAAGUUACCCUGGGGAUAACAGCGCAAUCCAUUUCAAGAGCCCCUAUCGACAAAUGGGUUUACGACCUCGAUGUUGGAUCAGGGUCUCCCAGUGGUGCAGCCACUACUAAAGGUUCGUUUGUUCAACGAUUAAAACCCU
rnacentral:rRNA from 1 species